AAUCAUCAUAUUAAAUUGAACAAACAAAAGCAACAACAUGUUCCAAAAUUGCAGCAGGGUAUCAUGAACAUCAACAUCCUCGUAACAGCAGCAAGCACACGUUCAUCAUUAAAUGUCCAUCAACAAAUCAAGCAAAACAAACAAUGGCAUAUAGCAGCAUAGCCUUGAACAUUAAUGUUUCUCAUUCAUCCAACACAACAUGGUAGUAGUAAGGCA
rnacentral:lncRNA from 1 species